AAAGCCUGUGUGUGUGAUGUCAUCAGGUUUCCCAGAGUUAUCCGCCGUUUGUCCUGUAACUGUCUCACCUGUCUCACUCACCUGUGUUUCAGAGUUUCCCGUCGACUCCCUGACAGAGAACUCUUUACACUACAAAUACAUCAGCUCCUCCAACAGGAUGAUGACUGACACUGCUGGUCACAUGACGGUUAACUCUGCUCAUCAACCAGAGGAAGAAGAGGAGGACACAGGGAAUCGGC